rnacentral:rRNA from 1 species
UGAAUACGAGACGCUAAGGCGUUGAAGUAGUGUAUGUCAUACUUCCAAGAAAAGCUUGCACUGUCAUAGAUAAAAAACGCCUGUACCAUAACCGACACAGGUGGGUAGGUAGAGUAUACUAAGGGGCGCGAGAUAACUCUCUCUAAGGAACUCGGCAAAAUAACUCCGUAACUUCGGGAGAAGGAGUGCCUUAUUUAUAAGGCUGCAAUAACAAGAUCCAAGCAACUGUUUAUCAAAAACACAGGUCUCCGCUAAGUCGUAAGACGAUGUAUGGGGGCUGACGCCUGCCCAGUGCCAGAAGGUUAAAGAAGUUGGUUAGCAAUAGCGAAGCUGAUAACUGAAGCCCUGGUGAACGGCGGCCGUAACUAUACGGUCCUAAGGUAGCGAAAUUCCUUGUCGGGUAAGUUCCGACCCGCACGAAAGGCGUAAUGAUUUGGAUACUGUCUCGGAGAGGGGCUCGGUGAAAUAGACUUGUCUGUGAAGAUGCGGACUACCUGCACCAGGACAGAAAGACCCUAUGAAGCUUUACUGUAACUUGAAAUUGAAAUUGGACUUUAUUCGCGCAGUAUAGGUGGGAGGCGUUGAUUGUAAUCUUGCGGGAUUAUUGGAGCCAUCAGUGAGAUACCACCCUUGUAAUGUUAGAUUUCUAACUUUGAAUCAUUAUCUGGUCAAAGAACAGUUUCAGGCGGGCAGUUUGACUGGGGCGGUCGCCUCCUAAACGGUAACGGAGGCGUACAAAGGUUUCCUCUGAACGGUUAGAAAUCGUAUCUAGAGUGUAAAGGCAUAAGGAAGCUUGACUGUGAGACCUACAAGUCGAGCAGGGACGAAAGUCGGUCUUAGUGAUCUGACGGUACUGAGUGGAAAGGCCGUCACUCAACGGAUAAAAGUUACUCUAGGAUAACAGGCUGAUCUCCCCCAAGAGUUCACAUCGACGGGGAGGUUUGGCACCUCGAUGUCGGCUCAUCGCAUCCUGGGGCGGUAGUACGUCCCAAGGGUUGGGCUGUUCGCCCAUGAAAGCGGUACGCGAGCUGGGUUCAGAACGUCGUGAGACAGUUCGGUCCAUAUCCGGUGUAGGCGUUAGAAUAUUGAGAGGAGCCUUCUUUAGUACGAGAGGACCGAGAAGGACAUACCUCUGGUGUACCAGUUAUCGUGCCAACGGUAAACGCUGGGUAGCUAUGUAUGGAGUGGAUAACCGCUGAAAGCAUCUAAGUGGGAAGCCCACCUCAAGAUAAGUAUUCUCAUCA